UCGCUGUACGGAGGUCCCAGCACGUAAAACCUGUCUGGGGUAAACACAGAUGGCAGGCGUGUUAUCCCAGCAGCACACCGGAAGCUGAGGCAGGAGGAUUGCUGCGAGUUCCAGGCCUGGGCUGCAGAUGAACCUGUUUCAAAAAACAAACAAAAAGCAGACACAAAGGCCAGGCCCUCUGGAUCAUAUCUUUAAUUUCAGCACUUCGCAGGCGGAGCCAGGCGGAUCUCUGUCAGUUCAAGGACAGCCGGGUCUACAUAGUGAGUUCCAGGCCACCCGGAACUACAUAGUGAAACCUUGUCUCAAAACAGGGCAAAGGGUAGGGAGUGGGGCACAUGCUAAAUCAGAAAUGGUUUGGUAGGCCAGUCAUUCUAGCACUCUGAAGACUGAGGCAAGAGGCUUGUUGUGGGUUCCAGGCCUACACAGACUACUGAAAAAGCAUGGCGGUGCACGCUUGUAAUCUCAGCAUUCAGGAAAUGGAGGUCCACACCUGGAACUGAUGUGGGACUGACUCAGAUAGUCCACAGCAGCAGACUAUUUGUGUCUGAGAAGAGCUCUUUGCCAGCUUCGGAGUUUAAAUCUGUGGGCUCUGGAGACAGAAUAAAUGCCAGAGCCCAGAGAGUGUGGAGGCUCUGAGAAAGAACAAGGCUGCUGCUGCUUCCCGGUGGCUCCUGGUUGCUGUUGUGAGACAAGAAGUUGGAGAUCUCCUGAAAAGAGGACUGGACUGGCUCCAAGGAACCUGAUGACCCUGACCAGCAGGAAGCAGCUAAGAGAUCUGUGGCCCCUCUCCCACUAGCCCUUUCUCUUUCCUACCUGGUGUUGGGGUGUUGGAAGGGGCACAGUUGGGGUGGAGUAGGGAAAAAAAUAACUGUAAAUAAAAGUUCUUAAAAAGUACACCUAGAGUUGUGAGCCCCUGUGUGGGUGCUGGGGACUGAGGCUGGGUCCUUUGCAAGGGCAACGUGUCCUCUUAAGCACUGAACCAUUCCCACUGCCCCUUGUGGACUGCAGAUAUUUUUAAUCGCCAAGAGACCAGAUAGAGAUAGCCAAGAUGGGCCUGGGAGCAUUCAGGGACCAUUCUCAGUAGUUGCUAGAGUAUCUGUCACACCAUACAGUUGGAAUGCUAAGAAUUUUAUUUUAAGGCAGGUGGUGGUAGUGGUGCCUGCCUUUAAUCCCAGCACUUGGGAGGCAGAGGCAGGUGAAUCUCUGAGUUCCGGGCCAGCCUAGUCUACAAAGAGAGUCCAGGACAGCCAAGGCUACACAGAGAAACCCUGUCUCGAAAAACAGAAUUAAAAAAAAAUUUUUUUUUGCAAAAUAA